AACGUCAAGACAAAAGGUUAUUAACCUUCUGCCAUUUCCUCCCUACUGAAAGUGCUUUACAACCCGCAGGCCUUCUUCACACACGCGGCAUUGCUGCAUCAGGCUUGCGCCCAUUGUGCAAUAUUCCCCA
rnacentral:rRNA from 1 species